GACGAACGCUGGCGGCGUGCUUAACACAUGCAAGUCGAGCGGUAAGGCCCUUUCGGGGGUACGACGAGCGGCGAACGGGUGAGUAACACGUGGGUGACCUCGCCUCUAGCUCUGGGAGUAAGCCUGGGAGGGCUGGGUCGUAAUACCGGAUAUGACCUCGCGGUGCAUGUUGCGGGGUGGAAAGCCUUGUGCGGCUAGGGAUGGGCCCGGCGGCCUAUCAGCUUGUUGGUGGGGUGAGGCCUACCAAGGCGACGACGGGUAGCCGGCCU
rnacentral:rRNA from 1 species